GUACUACUCCCUCUGUUCCAAAUUACUCGUCACAGAAAUGGAUGUAUCUAUAACUAAAAUACAUCUAGAUACAUCCAUACUUGUGACAAGUAAUUCGUACGGAGGGAGUAUUUG
rfam:Triticum urartu cultivar G1812 contig240643, whole genome shotgun sequence.